rfam:Picoides pubescens contig24952, whole genome shotgun sequence.
GGCGGAGCGCCGAACGCCGGGCUGGCCGGUGGGGCUAAGACCAUUAUUGUACCGUAAAUCUUUGAAACGCUGGAUCUAAUUAAGGAGAGGAUAUGUCUCAAUUUGUUCCGCAUUAGUGCCGCGCCGGGACGCAGGCACUGAGAACGGGGAAAUUGAUGAACCCGACCCGGCCCAGCCUCGCCGGGCCGGGCGGCCCUGACCCCACGUUCAACCCGGCGGGCAGC